UGCCCAGCAACUACUAUCCCUACUUCCUCACGGUACUGGCCGGGGUACGAGUAACCUUAGGGAAGAUCGGGUAACCAACCCCCGGUGGGAACUUUGGUCGUAUGCUGACAGGGAAAU
rnacentral:ribozyme from 1 species